rnacentral:rRNA from 1 species
UGCCAGCAGCCGCGGUAAUACGGAGGGUGCGAGCGUUAAUCGGAAUUACUGGGCGUAAAGGGCGCGUAGGUGGUUUGGUCAGUCGGAUGUGAAAGCCCCGGGCUUAACCUGGGAAUGCCAUUCGAUACUGCCAGGCUUGAGUAUGGUAGAGGGAAGCGGAAUUCCGGGUGUAGCGGUGAAAUGCGUAGAUAUCCGGAGGAACACCAGUGGCGAAGGCGGCUUCCUGGACCAAUACUGACACUGAGGCGCGAAAGCGUGGGGAGCAAACAGGAUUAGAUA